rnacentral:rRNA from 1 species
GACGAACGCUGGCGGCGUGCUUAACACAUGCAAGUCGAACGGAAAGGCCCUGCUUGCCGGGUACUCGAGUGGCGAACGGGUGAGUAACACGUGGGUGAUCUGCCCUGCACUUCGGGAUAAGCCUGGGAAACUGGGUCUAAUACCGGAUAGGAGCCAUUUUUAGUGUGAUGGUUGGAAAGUUUUUUCGGUGUAGGAUGAGCUCGCGGCCUAUCAGCUUGUUGGUGGGGUAAUGGCCUACCAAGGCGGCGACGGGUAGCCGGCCUGAGAGGGUGGACGGCCACAUUGGGACUGAGAUACGGCCCAGACUCCUACGGGAGGCAGCAGUGGGGAAUAUUGCACAAUGGGCGCAAGCCUGAUGCAGCGACGCCGCGUGGGGGAUGACGGCCUUCGGGUUGUAAACUCCUUUCGCUAGGGACGAAGCUUUUUGUGACGGUACCUAGAUAAAAAGCACCGGCUAACUACGUG